rnacentral:sRNA from 12 species
AGAUUUGGUUGUAGAACGCAACCAAAUAAAAAUAAAGAAAGUUCAAUUGAA